CAACUACUCCCUCCGUCCCAAAUUAGGUGACUUUCUAUUACAUGCAUCUAGAUGCUUAUUAGGCAUAGAUACAUUCAUAUUUGAUAAAUUUGAGUCACUUAAUAUGGGACGGAGGAAGUAAGAA
rnacentral:pre_miRNA from 1 species